CAUGCUUCUUUUUUCACCAAUAAAUUAUUUCUUCUUUUUCUAAGGAAGCCCCACCACCACUAAUUUCAGUAAAGCAAAAAAUAAAAAAAUUGAGUGUUGGAAAAAGUAAUUUUUGUCCUUACUAAUGAUAAGAGAACACCUGACAUCUUGAAAGCCAUUAGAAGUUCUUUUGUUUAGCCUAACUUAGAAGGUUGUUUAUUCUAACAUAGAAGGUUGUUUAGUCUAACACAGAAGGUUGUUUAGUCUAACAUAGACGGUUGUUUAGUCUAACACAGAAGGUUGUUUAGGCUAACACAGAAGGUGGUUUAGGCUAACACAGAAGGUUGUUUAGGCUAACACAGAAGGUGGUUUAGCUCGUAGUUCUGGAGGCUGAGACAUCCAAGAGCAGUGCUGGCAUCUGGUAGAGGCCUUUGUGACGGGCCACGCCAUGGUGAAGACGAGCUUGAGAUGGUGAGACGGAGAAGCAUGGCAGAGACUAACUCUUCUUAUUACAAAGUCUCUCCUGGGAUAGGCCACAAGCCCUUGACCAGAUGAAUACAUUCUCGAGAGCAGAACAUUACAAUGCUAGCCCUCUCAGAAGCCCAACACUGACUUAGGAAUUUGAGGGUUCAACUUCUAACACCUGGAUUCUUUGGGGUGCAUUCAGAUCACAGCAUGUGUCCACAAACGUUCUUGCUGGGUUUGGACUCCUGGCUUUGGUGGGUACUAGCAAGAUCUCGCUUGUGCCAGGACCACAGUGAAAUGUAGGAUUUUCCCAUACCAGUCCUGUCAUUGUGGUUGAGCCUCAGCUAAGGGCACAAGAAUGCCCAUACACACCCUCCGAGAAGUGGCAAAGAGCUCAGGGAAGAGGGACUUGAGGCCUCUCUGUGCUCCAGCGAGAUGGUGCCUGUUCCAGCCGCUGACCCAUCAGAACAAGAACUUAACUUACUCAAAUUUUUCCUGAGUGGGGAAGGUGCUAACAGGGAGGCUUGGGCUUCUCUGGCCUUCCUAGAGAAGUUAAGUCAGCUGAAGGACACGCUAAGGUGGGGCACUCAUGCAGGAGGGGAGUAUAGCACUGGGAUUCAGCUAAAGAAGCCUCCAGCUCUGGCCAGCGGAGGAGUGACAGUCUGAAUGGAGAGGGUCUGAAAGA